CCGGAAACUCACCAGUGCCGACGGACAGAUGAAAGCCAGUGUGAUGAGCUUGCUGGAUUGUUCGAGAGGUAGUGCAUGGCCGCCGUCAGUUCGUACCGUAAGGCGUUCUGUUAAGUCAGAUAACGAACGAGACCCUCAUCCCUAUUUGCUAAGGUUUCUCCCUUCGGGGCGAGAUCACAGGACUAUAGGGAGACCGCUGGCGAGAAGUCAGAGGAAGGUGAGGGCAACGGUAGGUCAGUAUGCUCCGAAUGCACUGGGCUACACGCGCAAUACAAAGGACGGGACAAUGGGCCGCUGCUCCGAGAGGAAAGAUGGCUAUCCCGAAACCCGUUCGUAGUUCGGAUUGAGGGCUGUAACUCGCCCUCAUGAAGCUGGAUUAGGUAGUAAUCGCGUCUCAAAAAGGCGCGGUGAAUAUGCCCCUGCUCCUUGCACACACCGCCCGUCAAACCAUCUUAGUUGGGGGUGGGUGAGGCUGC
rnacentral:rRNA from 1 species